rnacentral:rRNA from 1 species
AACGCAGCGAAAUGCGAUACGUAGUGUGAAUUGCAGAAUUCCGCGAAUCAUCGAGUUUUUGAACGCAAGUUGCGCCCGAGGCUUGUCCAAGGGCAUUUCCGCUAGAGCGUCACC